rnacentral:lncRNA from 1 species
UUUAUACCAUAUUUAGGGCCUCGUAUAUUUGGGCCUUGGGCCUUGUAUUUGGGCCUCACACUAAAGCCCAUACUUUGUAAAAGAGGAGGAGCCCCUUAUUCUAUAAAAGGGGACUCCUCCCCUCAUUCUAAGGGAGGGAGAGAGCCAGCUUAAGAAGGCUAAGAGAAGCUCUCAUUACAUUCAGGAGAGACCUCACACCACCGAGGCUCUCCUCUCCCUUCUCUUCUCUCUCUGGGGGACUUCCCCUCAAACUCUUGUAUCCAUACAAUUACAGAGAAACAGAAUCAACUACAGUGUGGACGUAGCCCAAACAUUGGGGUGAACCACGAUAAAAUCCUUGUGUUCUUUGUGUUCUUCGUGUUCUUGAGCGUUUGUGCAGAUUCACGGUCGGAUUUACGUUGUUCCAAGACCGCCCCGGUUUUGUGCAUCAACAUUUGGCGCCGUCUGUGGGAAUCGAUACAAAAAACUAUGUCGGUUCUCUUUCAUUUUUUCAUCUCACCACCACCGUGAGACCUCAUCACUGUCCACCAUGAAUCUGCAAAAUAUGCAAAACCCCAACCAAAACUCUCUCGAUCUCUUUCUCGCUUCUGAUCUCUUUCACAUCUUCAAACAAAACACCAUCACUCCUUUAUCUCUGGAAAACACAUAGAAACUAAACAAAAAACCCAUUUCAAAUCUCCAAACUCCAUAACCGACUUACUACUCCCAUACGUCCAUCAUACAUUUACGCAACUACCCUCAUCUGGAAAGACUGGCUGAAGCUCAAGGCAAUGGUCCCGCCUAUUGUACUUGAGUUGCUGGGCCUGCUGGCGGUGAAUCUGGUAGGCGUUGGCGAGCACCUCCAACGGCAGUGCACGUAGUAUGGAAGUUUAGGCAGUAAGAGUGAUGAUCAUGGCGUUGUCGGUGAUCUUGUGGGCGAUGUACUCGAAACCCUCGGGCAUGCGUGAUCACUCCGUGGUUCUGAGGCACGAUGAACAGUACACCGUCGACGAUGACACAGAGGACCAGAUCGAGUGCACGGGGAGGCACGGCAAGUCGUGCAGCGGAGUGAUGCUCUGCUGCUGCUCCUGCACGCUAGUAAGCUCCGCCUGUGGAGCUCCCCCGUCUCUGCGCAUGCAAUCAAGAGGAAGAAGUACAGGGUGAUAGGGAAGGUGAAGGAACACCACAAAAAGAAGGCCAAGGACGCCAAGAAGCUCAGCUUUAAAAACAAGAAGGUUGAGAAAAGACCCGAGUAUUCUUAAUGACUGGCCCAUCAAGGAGCAGGAGCUUAAGGCUCUCGAAGCCUCCAACCCGACCCGGUUUCAAAUUAAGAGCACCGAGCCUCAUCGUCCCAUCGCCGCCGUACAUCUCCACCGACGAAUCUCGUGCCAGACCUCCUCCGUCAUUGCUUCGCCUUCGUCCGUCGGCAACGUAACAGAAAAAUCAGAACUGAAGGAUUUCUUGCACAUAAGUGAUUUUGACAAAGCCACCAUUUUGAAGAUGUUAGAUCGAGCUGCAGAGGUCAAGGCACAUCUCAAAUCAGGAGACAGGUCAUUUCAACCAUUUAAGGGGAAGACAAUGGCUAUGAUCUUUGCAAAGCCUUCCAUGAGAACACGUGUUUCAUUCGAGACUGGGUUUUUCUUGUUAGGUGGUCAUGCCAUAUACUUGGGUCCAAAUGAUAUCCAAAUGGGUAAGCAGGAGGAAACGCGAGAUGUCACACGUGGUUAAACAAAGAACCUGAUCGGCUCAUCCCUUCCCAGCAGUGCCAACACAGCAUCACCAUCAUGGCCAACCUGCAGAUUCAAAGGUGCACAUGCAUGACAGCUAUAAGAGACAGAAAGAGAGGAAAGUCAAAAGCAGAAAGUCAAAAGCAGAAAGCAAAAGCUUUUGCAAAGGAAAAGAGAAGAUAAGAGUAUUUUCUUAUUAUCAAAUAUAUUCCUUGUCUGCCAUAUUGAUCAGGGUUAAGAAACAGAAACCAAAGCAAAAGGAAUAACAAGAAAGUGGAACGGGUUUGGUGGGAAAUAUCCCACACCCCAUUGUCGGCCAAGGAAAGAAAAAGAAAAGAAAAAAAGAAAGAAAAGAAAAAAGAAGAAAGAAAGAAAGAAAAGAAAAAGCAAUGUCAGGAGAAAGCAAAAUAAAAAAUAAGAUGGAGUGGGAGGCCACGUUCUUUAUUUACAUUUUUUACAGCUGGAGUACACCAGUUUGUGUUCAAACAGCAGAAACCAGGCCGAAAGAGAAAGGCAGUGGCGGACAAAGCAAAAGGAAAAGAGAAAGAAAAGGGAAAGUAAAGCAAAAGCAAGUCAGUGUGUCUAGAAGUGGAGAGAUCAAAGAGGGAACAGAAAAGAAAAAAGAUCAUGUCGUUGGGAGAAUAUUUCAGAAAGCAGAAAAGAGGAAAGCAAAAAGGAUGCACAUGGAGACACUGCCAAAACAAGGAAUAAAUACCUCACCCGAAUGAUGUAAUUUAUUUUUAUUAUCUUUCGGAGACAUCUGUAUAAACCCCAUCAGAGGGUAAUAUAUAUAAACCCCAUCAGAGGGUCAAAAAAAAAAAAAAAAAAAAAAAAAAGGAAAAGCCCAAAACAAAUGGGCUGACAUGUUGUGGAGGGCAAAGGCCCAUAGGCCUGAAAUAGCACCAACCAGAUGAUCAAAAGUACGCCUAGUACUCCAAAUUAUACAUGAACAUUACUCAUGUCAUUCAUACAUACACAUUCAUGAGCAUCACUCAUGACAAUCAUACAUAAACAUUCAUGACCAUCAUUCAUGUCAACAUCCAUGAGCAUCACUCAUGUCAAUCAACAUAAACAUCCAUGAGCAUCAUUCAUGUCAAAUCAGCUUCAAAGACUUCAUUUACAGAGCUCUAGCUUCAAAAGCUUCAUUGACAAGAGCUCUAGCUUCAAAGACUUCAUUUACAGAGCUCUAGCUUCAAAAGCUUCAUUUACAAAAGCUCUAGCUUUAAAAGCUUCAUUUACAGAGCUCUAGCUACAAAGCUUCACUUGCAAAGCUUCACCUACAAAGCUUCACAUACAAAGCUUCAGUGCAAGGUAUACAAAUACUGCCUCCGAACAACCGCCACUUCGGCCCAUACAUGGAUUCACUUUAAAGUCUCCAGCCAACCGACUCUAUUGACCGAAGACUUGGGGGACUACAUUAUGUACCAUAUAUUGGGCCUCAAUUGGGCCUCAUGAAAAAUAUUUGGGGGACUUAGCCCAUUAUUUAUGUAUUAAGGAACGAGCCCUUAUUCUAUAAAAGGGACUCCCUCACCUUCAAACGCCACAAGCCAAGCCAACCAAGGCAACAUAAGCUACAAGCAAAGCGGCCUCACAACAUGUGCUGCUUCUAGUUGAGCAUCAUUUCAGAUUGGGCACCGCCUCAUAUCGAGCAUCAGUUCUAGACGACAUUUAGUUACUUCGGCCCACACAUGGACUGAAUUUCAAGUCUCCAGCCAAAAGACUCUCUUGACUGAAGACUUGGGGGACUACUGUUUAUACCAUAUUUAGGGCCUCGUAUAUUUGGGCCUUGGGCCUUGUAUUUGGGCCUCACACUAAAGCCCAUACUUUGUAAAAGAGGAGGAGCCCCUUAUUCUAUAAAAGGGGACUCCUCCCCUCAUUCUAAGGGAGGGAGAGAGCCAGCUUAAGAAGGCUAAGAGAAGCUCUCAUUACAUUCAGGAGAGACCUCACACCACCGAGGCUCUCCUCUCCCUUCUCUUCUCUCUCUGGGGGACUUCCCCUCAAACUCUUGUAUCCAUACAAUUACAGAGAAACAGAAUCAACUACAGUGUGGACGUAGCCCAAACAUUGGGGUGAACCACGAUAAAAUCCUUGUGUUCUUUGUGUUCUUCGUGUUCUUGAGCGUUUGUGCAGAUUCACGGUCGGAUUUACGUUGUUCCAAGACCGCCCCGGUUUUGUGCAUCAACA